UACGGAGGGGGCUAGCGUUGUUCGGAAUUACUGGGCGUAAAGCGCACGUAGGCGGCUUUGUAAGUUAGAGGUGAAAGCCCAGGGCUUAACCCUGGAAUUGCCUUUAAUACUGGCGGCCUUGAGUAUGGCAGAGGUGUGUGGAACUCCGAGUGUAGAGGUGAAAUUCGUAGAUAUUCGGAAGAAUACCAGUGGCGAAGGCGACACACUGGGCCAUUACUGACGCUGAGGCGCGAAAGCGUGGGGAGCAAACAGG
rnacentral:rRNA from 1 species